rnacentral:rRNA from 1 species
ACGGGAGGCAGCAGUGGGGAAUAUUGGGCAAUGGGCGAAAGCCUGACCCAGCAACGCCGCGUGAGGGAAGAAGGUUUUCGGAUUGUAAACCUCUGUCCUCAAGGACGAAGGAAGUGACGGUACUUGAGGAGGAAGCCCCGGCUAACUACGUGCCAGCAGCCGCGGUAAUACGUAGGGGGCGAGCGUUGUCCGGAAUGACUGGGCGUAAAGGGCGUGUAGGCGGCCGAUUAAGUGUGGAGUGAAAGUCCUGCUUUCAAGGUGGGAAUUGCUUUGCAGACUGGUUGGCUUGAGUGCGGAAGAGGUAAGUGGAAUUCCCAGUGUAGCGGUGAAAUGCGUAGAGAUUGGGAGGAACACCAGUGGCGAAGGCGACUUACUGGGCCGUAACUGACGCUGAGGCGCGAAAGCGUGGGGAGCGAACAGGAUUAGAUACCCUGGUA